GAUUUCUCUGUGUAGCCUUGGCUGUCCUGGAACUCACUCUGUAGACCAGGCUGGCCUUGAACUCAGAAAUCCACCUGCCUCUGCCUCCCAAGUGCUGGGAUUAAAGGCGUGCGCCACCACUGCCUG
rnacentral:miRNA from 1 species